rnacentral:rRNA from 1 species
GACAGAGGUUGCAAACGUUGUUCGGAAUUACUGGGCAUAAAGCGCACGUAGGCGGUUCGUUAAGUCAUGUGUGAAUCCCUCGGCUCAACCGAGGAAUUGCGCCUGAUACUGGCGAGCUAGAGAUCGAUAGGGGUGAGUGGAACUCCAGGUGGAGCGGUGAAAUGCGUAGAUAUCUGGAGGAACACCGGUGGCGAAAGCGGCUCACUGGAUCGAUACUGACGCUGAGGUGCGAAAGCUAGGGUAGCAAACGGGG